GGGAGCACACGGCAUUUAGCAGGCCACCGGGGUCCUGCCUCCACGGGGAGGGCUGCUCUGAGCAUUUCCUCGCCCUCGUAGCCACCGCCUUCCUCUCUCCUGUGGGGCAUUCUGGGAGUCCAGAAGGCUUUUCUAGGCCUAGGAGUGUCCACUCCACUUAGAACUGUCCGUAGAACUUCCUGGGGUGAUGGGGAUACAGUCCUAUCUCAGAGAUUUCAUACCUUACUCAUCAGCCACGGGGAGUUUUUGGCGCUAGCAGUGUGGCUAGUAGCUACUACAUUGGAUUGCUCAGGUCCAGAGGAAUGUUUCCCGACCUUCUGCAAGUCAGAACAAACGCCAAAUCGGACAAAGGGAUAAAAGAUCCACGGAUGUGGCAGCGAGAGCUCCAGCUGUCCCAGCGCCUCGGAUGCAGCUUCUCAACACAGCAGUAUCGAUAAGGAAACAUCACAACGGUGGACUUGGGACAUUCCGCAGACACUAUCUCCCUGCAUCAGCAGUGACUAUUCAUCUCACUUGGAAAUCCAAAACAAGAGCAAAUGGGUAGCUGUAUGCCAGCACUGCUGUACCCCGGCAUCCUGGAGUGUGGAUAUAUUAGAGCAAGCCAAGUCCAAGAACAUUACCGAGAACCUACUGUGCUCACAGAACCAGCCCCUCUCCUGCCAAGAUUAGGAGCUGUAGUGAUGCUUUUCUUCAGCCUGCAGUGAAACUAUGACCCAUAAACGCUGCUCUUUCCUGCCAUAGGACCGUCCCAGGGGAUCCACACAGACACAUGGGAACAGAGUCCUCUAAGGGAAACCAAAGAUUUACACUGCUCAGCUCUACAACAUCAGUGUCUUCAGAUUCUCUCUUUUCAGGAUUAAGAUUAAAAAAAGAACACGCAGCAUGGCUAACAGAUGCUGUCCUACCAGAAACAGCCAUAAGGCCUAGAGGGGUACUUCCUGGGCAAAGCCAGCGUCUAGACUUGGUCAGUGUCUGGACCUGAGACACAGCACACACUGAAGAACCGAAAAAGCGCAACGGUUUCAAAUCACUCCCAGACACAGCAGAUUCCAUGUCAGCCCUUCAGAGGCGGCGCAGUCGGCUUUGAACACUGUACCAUUUUCCUCCAUCAAGGGCACUGCAGAUUUUAUCACCCACCCCACACUAAACUAGGUCCUGCUGAGCCUGCAGAAUGUGGCAGGAGGUUUCAAAGCCACGUGAUGGGAUCACCCGCCCGUCCUCUCAGGCUAAAGUCAGGACAGUGCUCUGUCAGGGCAAGGGAAGCAGCCUCAUGGUUGGGGGCAGCAGGGAAGCCUCCUCCUGAGCUCUGGGCCUGGGCUUGUCUUUGGCAUUUGAGUUCCUGCCGGGAGUAUGUUCUCUGCACUGUAAGACACACUGUCCCCUGAGAGCAGGACGCUAAGGAGCAAGUAAAGGGCCUCUCCACUCACUUCAUGCUUCGAGGGAAGCUAUUCCUUCUCCUCAUCCUUGUGCCCACUGAGGCUGUGCACGUCCAUUAGUGACUAAUGUGGUAGGAAGGCAUUGCAGGCCUCUCCUGGCCACACACACACACGCACACUCCAUUUACCUAGCCGGCCACUCUUAACUGGAGAACAACCUCUUAUUUUACACUUGCAUGACUUUCAAUGCCAACUUCCACUAGGAGCUGCCAGUAGCCACUGACAAAAUUGUCUCACUCAAUUAUGAUGCCACACACUGACCUUAACCUGAACCAAAUGUCACGUAAGGCUGCACUCCCCCGCUGCACAUCUGAAAUAUUUAUCCAAAGAAGCCUUUCAGUCGUAAAGAAAUGGUCAGACCCGUACAAAGGUGAAUCUUAGAAGCACCUGACCCACUCGCUUCUAAUCCUUUGGCACAUCUUGGGAGCUCCUGCCUGAGAACAGUCAGUAGAGGUUUCAGCAACGCUUUCCAGGAAGAGGGUGAGGUGCCCGCCCUCCAUCAAGACUAACCCAGCAGGCACCAAAUGCCCCCACAGGAGCAUCAUCCCAUAGGAAAAGACACGUUUUCAGCACAUACUACCAAUAUUUUGAUAAAAUGUAUAUGUGAUGAUCUUAAGCCAUAUACCACUAAUAAAAGCUAAUUGCCUUUUUCUUAGUAAAGUUCUGACUUUCCUGCCCAUCUUCCAGCAACUAUCUUCUUUACACCAAAUUUCCAGUGGCAAACGCUAGUGCAUGGAUGCAGACCCACCCCAUGCCCAGCCUGGGCAAG